rnacentral:rRNA from 1 species
UACGUAGGGCGCAAGCGUUGUCCGGAAUUAUUGGGCGUAAAGAGCUCGUAGGCGGUCUGUUAAGUCGAACGUGAAAUCCCUGGGCUCAACCCAGGAACUGCGUCCGAUACUGGCAGGCUUGAAUCCGGGAGAGGGAUGCGCAAUUCCAGGUGUAGCGGUGAAAUGCGUAGAUAUCUGGAGGAACACCGGUGGCGAAGGCGGCAUCCUGGACCGGCAUUGACGCUGAGGCGCGAAAGCCAGGGGAGCAAACGGG